rnacentral:rRNA from 1 species
UGGGGAAUAUUGCACAAUGGGCGAAAGCCUGAUGCAGCGACGCCGCGUGAGGGAUGACGGCCUUCGGGUUGUAAACCUCUUUCAGCAGGGAAGAAGCGAAAGUGACGGUACCUGCAGAAGAAGCGCCGGCUAACUACGUGCCAGCAGCCGCGGUAAUACGUAGGGCGCAAGCGUUGUCCGGAAUUAUUGGGCGUAAAGAGCUCGUAGGCGGUUAGUCGCGUCUGCUGUGAAAACUCGAGGCUCAACCUCGGGCUUGCAGUGGGUACGGGCUGACUAGAGUGUGGUAGGGGUGACUGGAAUUCCUGGUGUAGCGGUGGAAUGCGCAGAUAUCAGGAGGAACACCGAUGGCGAAGGCAGGUCACUGGGCCGCAACUGACGCUGAGGAGCGAAAGCAUGGGGAGCGAACAGGAUUAGAUAGCCCUGGUAGUCCAUGCCGUAAACGUUGGGCACUAGGUGUGGGUCCAUUCCACGGAUUCCGUGCCGCAGCAAAGCGCAUUAAGUGCCCCGCCUGGGGAGUACGGCCGCAAGGCUAAAACUUAAAUGAAUUGACGGGGUCAUAGCUGUUUCCU